rnacentral:rRNA from 1 species
GUGAGGAAUAUUGGACAAUGGGCGCAAGCCUGAUCCAGCCAUGCCGCGUGCAGGAAGACGCAUCUAUGGUGUGUAAACUGCUUUUGUACGGGAAGAAACACUCCCUCGUGAGGGAGCUUGACGGUACCGUAAGAAUAAGGAUCGGCUAACUCCGUGCCAGCAGCCGCGGUAAUACGGAGGAUCCAAGCGUUAUCCGGAAUCAUUGGGUUUAAAGGGUCCGUAGGCGGUUUAAUAAGUCAGUGGUGAAAGCCCAUCGCUCAACGAUGGAACGGCCAUUGAUACUGCCAGACUUGAAUUACAAGGAAGUAACUAGAAUAUGUAGUGUAGCGGUGAAAUGCUUAGAUAUUACAUGGAAUACCAAUUGCGAAGGCAGGUUACUACUUGUGGAUUGACGCUGAUGGACGAAAGCGUGGGGAGCGAACAGGAUUAGAUACCCGUGUAGUCC